AUUGAACGCUGGCGGCAGGCCUAACACAUGCAAGUCGAGCGAGCGGCGGACGGGUGAGUAAUGUCUGGGAAACUGCCCGAUGGCGGGGGAUAACUACUGGAAACGGUAGCUAAUACCGCAUACCAUCAAAUGUGCCCAGAUGGGAUUAGCUAGUAGGUGGGGUAACGGCUCACCUACGCGACGAUCCCUAGCUGGUCUGAGAGGAUGACCAGCCACACGGGAACUGAGACACGGUCCAGACUCCUACGGGAGGAAGCAGUGGGGAAUAGUGCACAAUGGGCGCAAGCCUGAUGCAGCCAGGCCGCGUGUAUGAAGAAGGCCUUCGGGUUGUAAAGUACUUUCAGCGGGGAGGCGUUACCCGCAGAAGAAGCACCGGCUAACUCCGUGCCAGCCGCCGCGGUAAUUC
rnacentral:rRNA from 1 species